AGGGGCGUAGCUCAGUUGGUUCAGAGCGCUUGAGUCACAUUCAAGAGGUCAUCGGUUCGACCCCGAUCGUCCCUACCA
rnacentral:tRNA from 1 species